rnacentral:rRNA from 1 species
GUCCGUAGGCGGCUUAAUAAGUCAGUGGUGAAAUCCCUACGCUUAACGUAGGAACGGCCAUUGAUACUGUUAGGCUUGAAUUAUUAGGAAGUAACUAGAAUAUGUAGUGUAGCGGUGAAAUGCUUAGAGAUUACAUGGAAUACCAAUUGCGAAGGCAGGUUACUACUAAUGGAUUGACGCUGAUGGACGAAAGCGUGGGUAGCGAACAGGAUUAGAUACCCUGGUAGUCCACGCCGUAAACGAUGGAUACUAGCUGUUGGGAGCAAUCUCAGUGGCUAAGCGAAAGUGAUAAGUAUCCCACCUGGGGAGUACGUUCGCAAGAAUGAAACUCAAAGGAAUUGACGGGGGCCCGCACAAGCGGUGGAGCAUGUGGUUUAAUUCGAUGAUACGCGAGGAACCUUACCAAGGCUUAAAUGUAGAUUGACCGAUUUGGAAACAGAUCUUUCGCAAGACAAUUUACAAGGUGCUGCAUGGUUGUCGUCAGCUCGUGCCGUGAGGUGUCAGGUUAAGUCCUAUAACGAGCGCAACCCCUGUUGUUAGUUGCCAGCGAGUCAAGUCGGGAAACUCUAACAAGACUGCCAGUGCAAACUGUGAGGAAGGUGGGGAUGACGUCAAAAUCAUCACGGCCCUUACGCCUUGGGCUACACACGUGCUACAAUGGACGGUACAGAGAGCAGCCCACUACGUGAGUAGGAGCG